rnacentral:rRNA from 1 species
UAGGGAAUCUUCGGCAAUGGACGGAAGUCUGACCGAGCAACGCCGCGUGAGUGAAGAAGGUUUUCGGAUCGUAAAGCUCUGUUGUAAGAGAAGAACGAGUGUGAGAGUGGAAAGUUCACACUGUGACGGUAUCUUACCAGAAAGGGACGGCUAACUACGUGCCAGCAGCCGCGGUAAUACGUAGGUCCCGAGCGUUGUCCGGAUUUAUUGGGCGUAAAGCGAGCGCAGGCGGUUAGAUAAGUCUGAAGUUAAAGGCUGUGGCUUAACCAUAGUACGCUUUGGAAACUGUUUAACUUGAGUGCAGAAGGUGAGAGUGGAAUUCCAUGUGUAGCGGUGAAAUGCGUAGCUAUAUGGAGGAACACCGGUGGCGAAAGCGGCUCUCUGGUCUGUAACUGACGCUGAGGCUCGAAAGCGUGGGGAGCAAACAGG